UAGAAGAGUGUACUCCCAAACUCUGUUCGUUGCUUCUCUUGAAUAACUAGGAGGCAACGUUGCAAGGGCUCAAAAAGUCAGUAAGGAUGAAGGAUAAACGUAUUUGCAAGGGCUCCAUCCAUUCUCCAAGACCAAAGCAACAAUAAAGCAUUGGUAGAUGAAUUUUUCCAUCGAACUUUAGAAAAAAUGGGGGAUAAAUGUGUAUAUUGAAUAAAACAGUGGAAUUUAUGUUGUUGAACCUUAAUAGAAUGUUUGGCAGGUAAUACUAGGUACGACUAACUGGUGAGAGGUUGCUGAUAGUAAGUUCAAGAUUUUUUUUGGAGUUCAACCAGGUACAUCCGUACAUGCGAAUUAUACCCUUUUGUUUGUUUUUAUUGGUAAUAGAUUUUUAAAUGCAUAUGCUUGGUUUUAUCGAUAAGAGAUAUUUUUACAGUGAAUAGUUUUUAUUAUUUUGUUGCAAUUAUAUUUCUCUCUGCAAUGUUAUCCUUAAUUAUCUGAACCUUAAUAUCAGAACAUCUCAUCCUUACUACCUGCAACAUGGCUGCUGUUGCUGCAGCGUCAACUGCUUCUCUUACUUCUAAACAAAUUUUAACCACUCCAAGUGACACUACUAGUACCUCGCUUUCAACACAUUUCAUGUUCUACAGUCUUUUGCUUCUUCUGAUCGUAACUGGAUCCAGGUUUUCGUGGAUAUAUCCAUUUUUGUUGUUUAUUUACACUGAAUUGGGGAAGUUUCCAUUCGUAUAUCGAAAUCAUUUUUAAACGGAUUGGUCAUCAAAGAGAGAGACUAUGACUAAUAAAAUAUGACAAUGCCUAAAUAUUAAAUAGCUUGAAAGCAAUAGACGUGAAGGGGAUUAGGGCUUUUCAAGUACUUGAUCAAAUAAGGAUAUUAUAUGAAGAAGUCCAUGUACUAAUGCACCUUUGUAGACCUGGGAAUUCCGGUUAUCAUGUUCUUUAUUGGCAAAAGUCCUUUUCUAAAGUGUGUUGCAACACAUUUCAGAAAAUUGUGCACAAUUCAGGCAAUUGGAAACUGAAGCUGACAUGUACACGAGGGGGUGUCGAAGUUGAAGUUGAAGUUGAAAUAAAUAAAUAAAUCUGUCCUUUCUUUAAGCAUUUAGACUUUUACAUGAGUUAGUUCAAUAGUUAAUGCUUCUAUGUUAAAACAUUCCUUUAAGAAAACAUAAUACAGGGAAGAGAUUGUUUAUAGGCUUCUGCUGCAGAUGCUACUUUCAUGGGUACUCCUCUGCGGAGUUUUCAUUCAUCUAUGAGAAAAUUAGUUAAGAUUAGAGGAAAGGUAGUUGCUGCUGCUGCUUCAGUUGCAAUGACUCCAGUUGAGGAAGUUAAAGAAUAUGUACUUCUGACAUGGGCUGAAUUCGAUCUUGGAAGAGCUCCAGUCUACUGGAAAACUAUGAAUGGGCUUCCUCCUACUUCAGGAGAAAGGCUGAAGCUAUUCUACAAUUCAGCAGCUGGCAAUUUUGUUCCCAAUGAAGAUUUUGGAAUUGCUUUUAAUGGAGGUUACAAUCAGCCGAUCAUGUGUGGUGGUGAGCCAAGGGCGAUGCAGGAGAAAGUUUGAGGAAAAGCUGAUCCUCCUAUUUACACAAUCUAAAUAUGUAUCCCAAAGCAUGGACCUUGCAUAGGAAUUGAGUAAAGCUGCAUGUGAAAGAGCAAUCUUCCCAGCAUGAGUAUCGUCGCCACAAGAUGUGCCAUGAUUGUUAACUUUUCAGUCGAAGGAGGUGACCGAUGCAAUCUUGAUCUUGUAGCUGGGUGCACCGAUCCUCUAGCCAUUGUGGACGAUGGCUCUUGCCCACCUUAUUCUGAUUCCAAGGAUUAAAAUCAUCUAAUAAAUAUCAAGCAUCAAUAUCAUCAUGUUUUAUUUAGUUUGAUAAUGUACUUGCAACUUAAAAUAGCGAAUCUUGAGACAGGUUCUUGUACUUUUAAAUACGAGUGGACUAUGUGAAUAUUUUUUCAUCACUCUGUCAUGUCCGUCUAGUGAACAAUUUA